rnacentral:misc_RNA from 1 species
AGUCAUCAACACCUCCCGGUUUUGUGCGGGGAGGGGUUGGAGUUGGGGGCCUGCUGCCGUGAGGCGGCUCCCCUCGAAUGCAUCGGUGUUGGACUUGCGGGUCCGACUCGGCCGGGCGUUGUACCAUCCUCGCUCGAACGAGAAAGUUCCCAAACUGCCGUCCAUCCCAACGACUUUGCCCUCGCGGAGUGGCGGUCAAUGUACACUUUGAA